GACGAACCGUGCGAACGUUAUUCGGAAUCACUGGGCUUAAAGCGCGUGUAGGCGGGCCGGCACGUCGGUCGCUGAAAUCCCCCGGCUCAACCGGGGAACGGGCGCCGAUACGACCGACCUGGAGGGGGGUAGGGGGAGCCGGAACUUCCGGUGGAGCGGUGAAAUGCGUUGAGAUCGGAAGGAACGCCCGUGGCGAAAGCGGGCUCCUGGGCCCCACCUGACGCUGAGACGCGAAAGCCAGGGGAGCGAACGGG
rnacentral:rRNA from 1 species